UCUCAUUUUUCUCUGUUUUGUCAGUAGUUGUUUUUGGUAUUAUUCGUGCAACGUGGAAGCUAACUUAGUGGUUUGGUGUUCGUACAAAAAAGCAGUCUUAAAGAUCAUCUUAGUACUCUCAACCCGUAACCGCAAAUAGAAUAGCAGCAAUCUUAAGCAUGGACUUAAGUCAACUGAAUCAAACCUGUCUUGCAGAAAGUGAUUUUGAGCAGCCGAUUGUCAAACUGCAUGAAUUGCC